rnacentral:lncRNA from 1 species
AUGUCUUUGUCUUUUCUCAUUAGAGACAAAUGCGCCCCCCGCCCCCUCCCGCCGGCGAGGGCUGGGCGGCCCCUCCCCCACCGCCGGGGCGGGGGCCGGCGCCCGAGGGGCUCCCCCGCCGGCCGCCUCAAGUUGAAGAGGGUCCCGGCGCGCAGCGGGGCGCGCGUCCUCGCCGCGUCUCACCUCGCUCCGGCUGCCGGCGGCGUCCCCGCGGGCAUCGCCCGGGCGGUGCGGUCACCGCGGACCCGGCGCGGCGAUUGGCCCCUGGGCCCGCCGCCCCGGCCCGCGCCCCCAGCCCGCGCCCCGGCCCGCCGGCUCCCGCUCCGGCUCCCGCUCCGGCUGGCCCGGCAGCGACGGCGGCGGCCGCCGGGAGCAGAGGGCUCCGCGAACGGACGGGCGCGGGGCGCCGGGCGCGGGGGGCGCGGACCGGGCGGCGGGGCGGCGAGGCGGCGAGCGAUCGCGGAUCCCGUCCGCGCUCCGCGCAGGAAACUUCGGGUGAGCGGCGGGCGGGGCGGGGGCGGGGCGGGCGCGGCGGCGGGGGCGGGGCCGGGCCGGGGCGCCGGGGCCGUUCCGCCCGGGCGCGCGCGCCGCCCUCCUCCUUCGCGGAGGGCGCCCCGCCCCCGCCGGGAAGGCGGAGCAGGGCCCGCCCGCGCCCCCCAUCGCGCCCCUACCCUCCCGCUCGGGGCGCGGGGCGCCAGGGGGCGCUGGCGUGGAGGCCUGGCGGGGGCGGGGCGGCGGCGCCGGCGUCUUCCCGCCCCCAACUGCGGGGGCGGUCGGAGCCGCGGAGGCGGGCCCUCCCUCCCGCCGGGCGCGCACCCAGCCCUUCGGCGCCGCGGGCGGGGGUCGGCGAAGGGGCGGGGCUGCGGGCGUGGGCGGCGCGCGGCGGCCGGGACGGCGGCGGGCGCGCCCCUCCCCCUCUGCAUGUGUGUCCUGGGUGUGACCGCGCGUGUGAUGCGCUGCUGUAUCCGUGGGUGGGAUUCUGGGUGCGCGUGCAUCCGCACCCCCGCACACACACACACACACGCGCGCGCGCACAAGCGUACCUACGGCUUUCUGCGAACUUGUCCCUCGCCCAGCCUCCUCCUGGACCGAGCGAGCCGCGUGGGACCUCGAGGAAGCGCCCAGGCCCUCCCGCAGCCCCCCAGCCUCACACUGAGACACACUGCCCCCUGUGCUCCGGGGUCCCACUCGGACCCCUUGGUAACUGAAAACCUCACAAGCUUUUCACUUUUCCACGACCACCAGUCUGGUGGCUCCAGGUGCGACCUCCCUUCUUCCAAGCCCACACUCAGCGCCGGACAAAGAGCGGGGUGGCUGGUCCACACGGGCGGCUCCAGCGGCCUUGGGCCUCAGCAGUUACUCGAGUGGGUGAGAGGACCCACGUGGGGACCCCCAGAUCUGGAGCGACCCUGGCAAGGUCACUCAACCAGGGCUUCCCCACCUGCGCUGCGCGAUGGCACUGCAGAGAUGCAACCAGAAUGGGGUGGCCGUGCGGGGGUAGGGAAAGCCCGGGAGGCCCCGCGCCCUGCUCCACCGCUGGGCCUUGGGGGAAGGAAGACGCAGGAAGGCAGGACCAUGGCAGUUCCCAGGCAAGGCCCAGGGGGUGUCCAGCGCGGCCUGUCCCUGCUCAGCAGCACUUCCUCUUGUAUAUGUGAACUUUUCAAGAAAAUGAAAACAUUUACUCUAUUUUAA